rnacentral:tRNA from 1 species
GGCGACGACUGAUAUCACUCCGAUAUCACUCUGGUGACAGGUAAUUGCCAGAAAACCCCGGCCCCGGUCGGGGU